rnacentral:lncRNA from 10 species
UCUUUUCUUUCUUUCUUUCUUUCUUUUUUUUUUUUUUUCUUUGAGAUGGAGUUUUGUUCUUGUUGCCCAGGCUGUAGUGCAAUGGUACCAUCUCGGCUCACUGCAACCUCCGCCUCUCGUAUUCAAAUGAUUCUCCUGCCUCAGCCUCCCUAGUAGCUAGGAUUACAGGCACCUGCCACCAUGCCCAGCUAAUUUUUUUGUUUUUUGUAUUUUUAGUAGAGACAGGGUUUCACUAUGUUAGCCAGGCUGGUCUCGAACUCCUGACCUCAGUUGAUCUACCCACCUCAGCCCCCAAAAGUGCUGGGAUUACAGGCCUGAGCCACCGCGCCCGGCUCUGUCUCCUGAUUUUCAUCUUCCAUUGUCUGUAGGGAGGAGAGAUGAGGACGAGAGGGAGAAAGGAUGCCUGGGCUUGCUUUCUCAGUGGGGAAGAGUUCAAUCUCAGUUCAGGUUUUCUUUUAACAAAAUUUUUAUGUUAAUAAAAUUAAUAAAGUUGUUUUAUUUAUUUAUUUU